rnacentral:rRNA from 1 species
GUGACCUCGGAUUCAGUUAG